GACGAACGCUGGCGGCGUGCCUAAUACAUGCAAGUAGAACGCUGAAGGAGGAGCUUGCUUCUCUGGAUGAGUUGCGAACGGGUGAGUAACGCGUAGGUAACCUGCCUGGUAGCGGGGGAUAACUAUUGGAAACGAUAGCUAAUACCGCAUAAGAGUAGAUGUUGCAUGACAUUUGCUUAAAAGGUGCAAUUGCAUCACUACCAGAUGGACCUGCGUUGUAUUAGCUAGUUGGUGAGGUAACGGCUCACCAAGGCGACGAUACAUAGCCGACCUGAGAGGGGGGUCGGCCACACUGGGACUGGGACACGGCCCAGACUCCUACGGGAGGCAGCAGUAGGGAAUCUUCGGCAAUGGACGGAAGUCUGACCGAGCAACGCCGCGUGAGUGAAGAAGGUUUUCGGAUCGUAAAGCUCUGUUGUAAGAGAAGAACGAGUGUGAGAGUGGAAAGUUCACACUGUGACGGUAUCUUACCAGAAAGGGACGGCUAACUACGUG
rnacentral:rRNA from 1 species